CAUACAGUUAACGAUAGCCGCCUGGUAAUACAUGCAGAGGUUUGGCGCAUUCAUCCUGCCUUCGGCUGUUUUUUGAUACUUUUUCUUGCAACUGUAUAAUGUAUGUGAACCCUUUGGAAUGAUAUGGAUUUCUGCACAAAUUGGUCAUAAAAUCUGAUCAUCAUCUAAGUCACAACAAUAGACAAUCACAGACAAUCAAUUAGUUUACAUGGUGUGUUCAAUAAAAACAUGGCAACAGUUCAUUCUUUG